GCAAGAGCCGCGGCCGCGCGGCCGCACUGGCCGCAGUGUGCCCGGUGGCCGCCCCCUGCGCCCGAGGCUCCCUGGGCCUGAGCCUCCCCUGGCCCGGGCAGGAUAAGCGGCAGGGCGUGGGGCCGUCUCCGCGAGCAUGGUUCGACCCUUCCCUCCCUCCCUCCAGGACCCCGCUCUCUUCGCUGUCCCGGCUGUCCGACUGCGGACGGACGGGACUGGGCGCCCUUCCUACAACCCGCUGCCCGGGACCAGGAGCUUCACGGCCCCCACAGUCCUCGCCACAUCAUCCAAGUGUCCGAGGACGACGCACUUUUACCCGUGAGGUGGCCUGUGCUAAACUCACGAAUGCCAAGCCCUGCGUUUCUCCGUGGGUCUUACUUUCGGAGGGAAGAUGAAAACAGAGGGUCCUUGGAAACCCACUUACAUCCCAGCCUCUUUCCCAGGGUCGGUAAUGGAGACCUGAAUGUCCUCAAAGGCAUUGUCACUCACUGCUCUAGAAGAGACCUGAGUUUCUUUUGUCUCUGGAUUUGAUGGUGUGAGAAGUUUGAAGGAUGUUGGAAGUAAUUGAGAAGAAAAACCGGAG